CUUCUCCUGGCUCUCUUGGUGUUAGCCAGCCACAUUCUCACAUGAGGGGUGAAAGCAGAGUCAAAACUCAGGCGUCUGGGCACUGACUGUCUCCAGCUUAAGAAAUCCCUUUCUUCUGUAGGUCUCCCUUUGAUUUCAAAAUGAUGGCUCUUUUUAUGCAUUGGGCCAUGAUCACCAAUUCAGUUCUUUUACCUUUGGCCAUCAGGACUCUUUGUUCACUGCAGUUUAUAAGAAUCCUCAGGCAUGGCCAAGAUGUUCUAGAAUCUCCUGGGACUGACUCAUCUUAACUCCUCUCCUACAUACCUAGGGCAUCUGCUAAGAGAGAGUUUGCUGGGAUUGUCAAGGACAUGGGGAGCUCGAUGUUUUUGGGGGGAGAAAGCUGAGUCAGUUCAACUAACAUUUACUGGGCACAUACAUUCCAAGCCCAGUGCCAGGGGCUGGGGGAGGGGUGAGGACACAGUCUCUGCCCACAACAACUUUCAACCCCACGCGGGUACAGACACAGACAGUUGCCAUAGUAAGUGCUAUGAUGCCCUCUCCUCCUGGAGACCUGGGGAUGCCUGAGCUGUCUCCAAGGGUGUGUAAGGUCAGUGGGAGAAGGGAGGGGCUCCAGGGAACUGCAGCGUGCAGGGAGUGGGUGAAGCAUCUCCGGUGGGAGGACCUGGGAGCUGUUAUUC
rnacentral:lncRNA from 1 species